rnacentral:lncRNA from 1 species
GGAAAGUUGUAUAAAAUAGAAGAUGCACAUGGAGAGCCCUUGGCUAUUUUUGUAGGAGUUAUGAUGUUGCAACAUCAUUCAAUUUGCUAUGUCUAGUGACUGAAUAUAAUAAAUUAUCCUUGCUUUUACUUGUAACUUGCUCAGCUAUUGGCUCUGCAUCGGACUUCUUCUGCACCAGCAAUUUAUUUUAGAAAAAAAAAAAAAAUGAUCUAUCAAUCAAAAUCAAGGGUUCAUAGAAUAAUAAUCUCUUCUUUAUUCUUAUACCAUUGUCUGAGGCAGUGUUUUCCAACUAGACUUACCACCAUGCCUG